rnacentral:rRNA from 1 species
AGCGAACGCUGGCGGCGUGCCUAACACAUGCAAGUCGCACGGGCGGGGGCAACUCCGUCAGUGGCGGACGGGUGAGUAACGCGUAGGAAUCUAUCCUUGAAUGGGGGACAACCGUGGGAAACUACGGCUAAUACCGCAUGAUGCCUGAGGGCCAAAGACGAAAGUCGUUUGAGGAGGAGCCUGCGUCUGAUUAGGUAGUUGGUGGGGUAAAGGCCUACCAAGCCCUACGAUCAGUAGCUGGUCUGAGAGGAUGAUCAGCCACAUUGGGACUGAGACACGGCCCAAACUCCUACGGGAGGCAGCAGUGGGGAAUAUUGGACAAUGGGCGCAAGCCUGAUCCAGCAAUGCCGCGUGGGUGAAGAAGGUCUUCGGAUUGUAAAGCCCUUUUGGCGGGGACGAUGAUGACGGUACCCGCAGAAUAAGCUCCGGCUAACUUCGUG